AUUGAACGCUGGCGGCAUGCUUUACACAUGCAAGUCGAACGGCAGCGCGGGGCAACCUUGCGGCGAGUGGCGAACGGGUGAGUAAUAUAUCGGAACGUACCCAGAAGUGGGGGAUAACGUAGCGAAAGUUACGCUAAUACCGCAUACGAUCUACGGAUGAAAGUAGGGGACCGCAAGGCCUUAUGCUUUUGGAGCGGCCGAUAUCUGAUUAGCUAGUUGGCGAGGUAAAGGCUCACCAAGGCGACGAUCAGUAGCUGGUCUGAGAGGACGACCAGCCACACUGGGACUGAGACACGGUCCAGACUCAUACGGGAGGCAGCAGUGGGGAAUUUUGGACAAUGGGCGCAAGCCUGAUCCAGCAAUGCCGCGUGAGUGAAGAAGGCCUUCGGGUUGUAAAGCUCUUUUGUCAGGGAAGAAACGGUAGAGGCUAAUAUCCUUUGCUAAUGACGGUAACUGAAUAAUAAGCACCGGCUAACUACGUG
rnacentral:rRNA from 1 species